UACCAUCCCUAGCUGCAGUUAGUUGAGGUCAUGUGACUGAAUUCCAACUAAUAUAGGUAGAAAUAAAGUACUCCACUCCCAAAUACAGUUUAUAAAAAUCUCUGACAUAAUCCUCCACACUCUUUUACUUUCUCUGACAGGUGAACGGCAUGGAUUCUGAGAACCAGGAAGAGAGCCAAGUCAUAAAAGGAUCGGUGCCCGAGUGAGUCCUUGAAUGGUUCAUGGAACAGAACUUCUCAGUCUUCACUCCCCUUUACCCAUACUGAAGUUUACAUGAUUAAUAUAAUGUAAUAUAUAACUAAGCCACUGAGAUUUGCGAGUUUCUUUGAUUGCAGCUGGUGUUUAAUUUCUGAGUAACUAAGAAGGAAUACAUUUUUGAGGACAUGGUAUUUGGUCUGCAACCACCCAUGGUUUUAGAGAAGAAGCAACCCAUGUAGGUAUGUGGGCACCAAUUAUUCCAGUUAGACAAACAACACACCCAAAGCCCAAAGUCUGGGAGAAUGUGUUUAAGAAACAACACACAACGACGACAAAAAAUAAUAUAGCUGGUUUCUAGUGAAUGGAGAGGAGAGUGGUAGGAAAUGAAGUUUAAGAGGAGUGUGGAGACCAGAUCCCACAGGACUGUGUAAACAGUGAAAAGGAGUUCACAUUUCAUUAUAAUUGUGAUGAAACCUCAUUGGAAAAUUUUAAGCAGAGAAAAUCCAUGAUCUUACUAUGAUACACAGGUCUUUAAAAGAUUGAGUUACUCUUUGUUGAAUGAAUUUUAAGAAUCCAGAGAGGAUGACAAGGGACCAGUUAGGAGAUAAUAAUCUUCCAGGCAAGACAUGUUAGUGACUUAAACAAGAUUUAUUACAAUGGAAAGAGGAAAAAUUGAUAUAUCCCACUGAAUCAUUCAAUUAAUCAGGUCUAAAAAAUAUGGAUUAUACAUUUAUGUAAUAAUUAUAUUAAGAUCUGUUGUGAGUCACUUAGGAUAAUGGCAAAAAUAUUAAAGGGAAUAUUAGGGAAAGUUAUAGGAAAUAAUCACAAAUCUUUUGAAAGGCCAAAAGCUUAAAUAGCUUGUAAUAAUUGAACAGGCUAAAGGCAGCCGGUUCUUACCUUAGAGCACUAGGUCAUAGGGUAAAUACUAGGAACAAUAGAGGAUUCCCCAGUUACUUCUGUUUACCCUACCUCCAUUAACUAAUCUUUAAGCCAAAUGGCCCUCUGGGUGGUUGUGGGUGGGGGUAGGGGCGGGGAGGUCAACUAGGGAAAUUGCCCCCUAAUGGUAUUUACUUUAAACCGUAGUACCUAAGUUUUAAUCAUUUGUAAAACUACUUUCUUAACCAUGUUAAUUAUCCUCAAGUGUGUUUACUCAAAGCUUCUGUUGUUCAUUGUAUACUAAAUAAAUGCCUGAAGUGCAAGCUGCUCAGGACCAGCCGCAGUGACAAACCUCUCCUGGUGUGCAGGCAGUCGGACGCUCAGCUGGACUGGCGAAACAAAGUAUCUGUAUGUCAAUGUCCUUUAUCAGAUAUGUGACGUGCAAAUAUAUCCUCCAAGGUUGAAGCUUGUUUCUUCAUUCCCUCAAGAGUUAAUUUCACAGAGGGAAACAUAAUUUUAAUAAAGUCCAAUUUAUCAA